rnacentral:rRNA from 1 species
AACGCGAAGAACCUUACCUGGGCUCGAACGGCUUAAGAUCAACGGUGGAAACACUGUCUUCCCGCAAGGGACUUGAGUCGAGGUGCUGCAUGGCUGUCGUCAGCUCGUGUCGUGAGAUGUUGGGUUAAGUCCCGCAACGAGCGCAACCCUUAUCUUCAGUUGCUACCAUUUAGUUGAGCACUCUGACGAAACCGCCUCGGAUAACGGGGAGGAAGGUGGGGAUGACGUCAAGUCCUCAUGGCCUUUAUGUCCAGGGCUACACACGUGCUACAAUGGCCGGUACAAACCGUUGCAAACCCGCGAGGGGGAGCUAAUCGGAAAAAGCCGGCCUCAGUUCGGAUUAGAGUCUGCAACUCGACUCUAUGAAGCUGGAAUCGCUAGUAAUCGCGGAUCAGAAUGCCGCGGUGAAUACGUUCCCGGGCCUUGUACACACCGCGCAUA